UUGACAGCAGUAGCGUGCAGGAUGACGGCCCUAUGGGUUGUAAACUGCUUUUGUAUGGGGAUAAAGUUAGGGACGUGUCCCUAUUUGCAGGUACCAUACGAAUAAGGACCGGCUAAUUCCGUGCCAGCAGCCGCGGUAAUACGGAAGGUCCAGGCGUUAUCCGGAUUUAUUGGGUUUAAAGGGAGCGUAGGCUGGAGAUUAAGUGUGUUGUGAAAUGUAGACGCUCAACGUCUGAAUUGCAGCGCAUACUGGUUUCCUUGAGUACGCACAACGUUGGCGGAAUUCGUCGUGUAGCGGUGAAAUGCUUAGAUAUGACGAAGAACUCCGAUUGCGAAGGCAGCUGACGGGAGCGCAACUGACGCUUAAGCUCGAAGGUGCGGGUAUCAAACA
rnacentral:rRNA from 1 species